rfam:Picea glauca, whole genome shotgun sequence.
GAAAGCUGUAUGCCCUGAGAGAGGCUUUUACAGUUUGGGAAGGGAUUUUUAUUUAUCGGAAUAAGAGUCUACUUCAAC